rnacentral:lncRNA from 1 species
AAAACCCCAAAUUCGUUUCCCUUGACGGCGCCUUCAGAUGAGAUCCACGACGGGAUGAACCUGGAGCUCUACUACCAAUAGAACCCACCAGUAUAAACCAGUACAACCCAGUCCGGACCAGUGCAGCCAGCCCAGCGCUACCAGUAUAUCCCAGUAUAUCCCAGUCCCCUCCCCCAUUUCCGGCCCGGCCCCGUUUGUUGAUCAAUAAAGGCGAUUUUGGGGCCUCCGGGCGAUUUUUGGCAUUUCCCGGCCACGUUCCAGAGCUUGUGUCGCGAUUUUAAGGAGAAAUCCCGGUCUUGUGUCGCGAUAUCGCGAUUUGAGGCAAUACUGGGGGGUUGUGUCGCGAUAUCGCGGUUUUAAGGCCACAUUGAGGGGUUUUGUGGCGAUAUCGCGAUUUUAUGGUGCCAUAUCGCGAUGUUUCCCACGGGGGUACCCGAGCCUGGGCACGCGGAGCUCCCGGCAGGGAUAAACCCCGCGGUUUGUGGGGAUCGCCGGCGAUACGGGGGAGAAUCGCGACAGAGGCUCGGAGCAGGCGCUGCUCGGGGCAGCCCCGUCGUCAUGGUAACGGUGGCUUUUUAAUCAGGCGCCUCGCAGGGCAGCCCCGUCACCAUGGCAGCGGGGACCUUCCUUAGGGGCGACGUGUUGCUAUGGUAACGGCGGGUCUCCAAUCAGGCGCCGAACGGGGCAGCCCUGUUGCCAUGGCAGCGGGGGGCUUCCCAUGUGGCCGGCGCGCAGUAUGGCGGCGUCCAUGGCGAGCGCGGGAACGGGUGAGGGAGGCGGGGGAGCCGCGGGCGGCAACGGGAGCAGGAACGGGGAGCGGGAAUGGGAACCGGGAACUGGAGCGGGAACGGGAAUGAGAACCGGGAGUGGGAACGGGAAUGGAACCCGGGAACGGGAGAGGGAACGGGACCCGAGCAGCGCCUCCGUCUUCCCUCAGGACCGCGCUGAGCGCGGGGUCCCGGAGCCGGUACCGGGCAGCGGAGCUGGGACCGCCCGGGAAUGGCGGAGGGGCCGGGACGGGCCAGGGUGAGUGAGGGGAGAGACCGGGGAGGGGAUCCGGGUGUGGGAUCCAGGUGUGGGAUCCAGGUGUGGGACCCAGGUGUGAGCCCCUCCCCUGUGCCGUGGGGAGGUUUUGGUGUUUCCAUCUCUCCCCAGGGAAUUUUGUCUCUCCCCAGGCUGGCCCGGCCCGGAGCCGCUCCCCAGGAUCCGGAUCCAGUGGAUCCCAUGGAUCUCCGGGAUCAGCUGGACGAGCUGGACGAGCUGGAUGCAGAAAUCCUGGGAAUGGCCAGAGCUGGGUCCAGAACGGGGAAACGCGGCGGGAAGGGGCCGGGCCCCCAAAAAGGUACCGGGAAUUCUCUUGGGAUCGACCCCAAUCCUGUGGGAUCGACCCCAAUCCCAUGGGAUCAAACCCCAUUCCAUGGGAUCAACCCCAUUGCUGAGGGAUCGACCCCAAUCCUGAGGGAUCCACCCCAUUGCUGUGGGAUCGACCCCAUUUUAUGGGAUCAAUCCCAUUCCUUGGGAUCAACCCCAAUCCCACGGGAUCAACCCUGGGAUCAACCCCAAUCCUGUGGGAUCACCCCAUUGCUGUGGGAUCAACCCCAUUCCAUGGAUCGACCCCAGUCCC